AUUGAAUGAAAAUACAGACAAUCAGAAUGUUUUCAGCAUUAUAUUAUUUUGGAAUAACUUUUUAUUUUCAGUAAAAGUUCUUCAAUAGAUAAAACGGGUACUGCAAGAUCUUCUGUUGGAAAAUCACUGGUUAAACAAGAACAAGUACUUUCUAGAAGAAAUAGCGUUAGUGACAUUAAAAUCAAUGGUGCCCAGAAAUUGAAAAGAAGUAAUUCUCUUGGUAAAGAAAUUGGACUGAUGUCUUCCCUGGGCAAAAUCAGAGAGAACCUAUUGAAAUCAACAUAUUUUGAUAGUAAAAGGAAAGGGCUGUUGACUGAAACUAAUAAUAACAAUGGGUGUGACACAUCAGGAGAUAUCAGAUAUUCUAUUCCUAAAACUUCCAAUAUGUUAUCUAAAAUAAAAACAACUGGAAAGGAAAACAUCAACUGAAGACUGAGUGACUAAACAUUCCAGUUAUAAACUCAAUAUGAAAACUACUGUGUGAUAGAUCAGCUGCUGGCAGUUACGGUUGUGUUAAUUUUAUGACCUCAGAUUUUGUAUUUUAAGAGAUUUUAUACUUUGAGAUUAUAAUAAAUAAUUCAUCAAUAUUACUUUGAAAAUUUG